rnacentral:rRNA from 1 species
UACAUGGGGUGCAAACGUUGCUCGGAAUCAUUGGGCGUAAAGCGCGCGUAGGCGGUUACUUAAGUUGGAUGUGAAAGCCCUCGGCUUAACCGAGGAAGUGCAUCCAAAACUGAGUAGCUAGAGUACGAAAGAGGGAAGCGGAAUUUCCGGUGUAGCGGUGAAAUGCGUAGAUAUCGGAAGGAACACCAGUGGCGAAAGCGGCUUCCUGGUCCAGCACCGACGUUCAGGCACGAAAGCGUGGGGAGCAAACAGG